GGUCAAAGUGUUCUACGUUAUGAUGACAACUACAUUUUUUGUUACUAAUUCUUGAUAAUGUAGCUACUAUUAACGGUGGCUCUUUUUUUUCUUUUAUUGGCCUUUUUCUCCUUUAAUCUAUCUAAUCAGAUAGGUUUUGUUAUCAUUUAUCCUUCGAAUAUUCCGUUGAUGUUUUUGUAGAACAAGGUAUAUCAUAUUUUAGCCUGAAAAACACUAUAUUUUUGUUCACACAGAAAAUGUAUGUACAUGAAGCGGAUGAAUUAUACGGCGAAUAGUGGGAAAUAGUUGCAUCCGGUACGGGUUUUAGAAUAAGUACGUCUUGCUAUUAUUGAUUAUUUGCUUCAGGGGUACCUAUAUCCGGUGCUGAUGGUACACUGUGGCUACGUGACCGAGGAAAAACACUCGUAGAUCACCAGAGAAGAACAAUAUUCUGCGGCUGAAAACGGAGAACUUCUACACAUAAAUUGUAAAUGAAUGGUAAUGUUAUGGUUUAAUUUUAUUUUGUAUCCAUAUCAACAUGAUCCAAUAAGAUAUUGUGUUAACUAUCUUAAUAAAGGUUAUGCAGCAAUAGUAUAUGUUAAGUGGCUUAUUUAUGAUAUAAUACAAACAAAUUCUUUACUAAGCACGUCCUCCUUAUAUCAUUUUAAAAAUGUUUUAUUUUGAAAUAAAUGAGUUUGUAAUUGUAACAUUCAAUUGAUAUGUUAUAAAGUAAAUAUUAGGCGCUGAACGUGACUAAUCUGGAAGUGACAUCUUAUAUAAUUAUAAAUAGCAUGUUAAUGACAUUGCUUUGCUUUGGCAACUAGCUAUUAAAUGUUGAAUGAUGAAAAUGAAGAAAAGAUCUAUGAUCCGGGAGAACAAAACAAAAUAGAAGUUUAAAAUGAACAGGAAACAACA
rnacentral:lncRNA from 1 species